GAUGAACGCUGGCGGCGUGCCUAAUACAUGCAAGUCGAGCGAACAGACGAGGAGCUUGCUCCUCUGACGUUAGCGGCGGACGGGUGAGUAACACGUGGAUAACCUACCUAUAAGACUGGGAUAACUUCGGGAAACCGGAGCUAAUACCGGAUAAUAUAUUGAACCGCAUGGUUCAAUAGUGAAAGACGGUUUUGCUGUCACUUAUAGAUGGAUCCGCGCCGCAUUAGCUAGUUGGUAAGGUAACGGCUUACCAAGGCAACGAUGCGUAGCCGACCUGAGAGGGUGAUCGGCCACACUGGAACUGAGACACGGUCCAGACUCCUACGGGAGGCAGCAGUAGGGAAUCUUCCGCAAUGGGCGAAAGCCUGACGGAGCAACGCCGCGUGAGUGAUGAAGGUCUUCGGAUCGUAAAACUCUGUUAUUAGGGAAGAACAAAUGUGUAAGUAACUAUGCACGUCUUGACGGCACCUAAUCAGAAAGCCACGGCUAGCUACGUG
rnacentral:rRNA from 1 species